AACGAACGCUGGCGGCAGGCUUAACACAUGCAAGUCGAACGCAUCGCGAGAUGAGUGGCAGACGGGUGAGUAACGCGUGGAACAUACCCUUUUCUGCGGAAUAGCUCUGGGAAACUGGAAUUAAUACCGUAUACGCCCUACGGGGGAAAGAUUUAUCGGGGAAGGAUUGGCCCGCGUUGGAUUAGCUAGUUGGUGGGGUAAAGGCCUACCAAGGCGACGAUCCAUAGCUGGUCUGAGAGGAUGAUCAGCCACAUUGGGACUGAGACACGGCCCAAACUCCUACGGGAGGCAGCAGUGGGGAAUAUUGGACAAUGGGCGCAAGCCUGAUCCAGCCAUGCCGCGUGAGUGAUGAAGGCCUUAGGGUUGUAAAGCUCUUUCACCGAUGAAGAUAAUGACGGUAGUCGGAGAAGAAGCCCCGGCUAACUUCGUGCCAGCCGCCGCCGUAA
rnacentral:rRNA from 1 species